AUUUUUAAUGUCUGGUUAUAAGUAAUUGGUAAAAUAUGUAUAAUUUUAAAUAGAUCAUAAUGAUUUACUUUAAUAUUGAAGAAAUAUAUUUUAAUAAUUCAUAUAUCAAUCGCGGUGUGUUGCCCUCAUCACCAGUCAGGCUCUCCAAUACACCAUGACUUGUAGGAACAUUCUGGAAAAUGGCCAGAAUAGGGGAAAGGAAAAGCCCGUGGGUGGCUGCUGCUUGUAUUCUAAUGGCUGUCAACGUUCUCUUCUUGUCUUAGUUAUAUAAUGUGUGGCUUUAUGUUUGUCUAAUAUUUUCAACUUCUGGAUCUGCCAAGAAGAAACAAUGUUAAAUUACACUUAUGGUAAGUUGGUAUGAAAGAAUUGUUCUUAUUUUCUGCAGCUGUUUUAUGUGUGAAUCACUUUAUUGUUCCCCCAGGUUAGGAAGGUACAUACAAGUACAGUGGUGAUGUUGAUAUUUAUCACAAACAGUAAUUUGGUAAACUGAUCAAACAACACAACUUGUUAUGCUGCAGUGAUUGAUCAUAAAUUGAUACAGUGUGAGAAAUACUGUAUAUGGCCUCUAGAAUAGAAUUAAGAUAUUGUGGUGUACUGUAUUGAGAAACAUCAGCUUAGGGAGGUGGAAUGAGUACCGAGAAAUAUUGGUAGUUUCCCUGGACCAAUUACCUUGUAAAGUAAACACAAAAUUCAUUAUUUAAAGUUUGUUAUGUGAAAGGGUUGAACCGAGAAAGAAAACCUUUUUGGUAGAAUAAAAGAAAAAUUUUAAUUUCAUCACUCGUGCUUGGUAUACAGUAAUUCACUGUCAACAUGGAGUGGAUGUUAUGUGCCUUCUCGUAGAAUAGAUAAAUGAACAACUAUUACACUGCCCCCUCACUUAACUUGUGAGUUGCAGUCCCAUGAUAACAUGGGGAGAUAGGGGAUGCAUCAGGUGAACCCCAAAAGGUCCCCCCCCCUCCCCCCCAAAAAAAAAAAGUUCAAAGACUGUACAGCUCUACAGUAGCUCGCUAAUACAUGUACAUCUACCAAAUUCGCUUAAACUUAAUGUUGUGGAGAGACUGGCGGGUCCAUGAAAUCAAUUCCUAAAGUUUAAUAUUACCGUACAGCCAUUUUCAGAGGCUGGCUGAGUCACGCAUGGCCUUCUUCAAGCCUCACCACAGCAACCUGACCUGGGUACUCUCUCCCUCCUGACCCUUAGCAAUGCUCACCCUCCCGGUGGUAUAUAAAGAAAUGUUUAUUCAUCUUAUGUUUUUGACCCAAUGAUAUUUUUCUUCCCCCACAUUCUGUAGGGAGGAUUAUGUGUGCAUGUAACAAAAUGGUGAAGGUUAAUUGUAUCUACUUGAAAUUAUGAAUGGAAAAAUAACCAUAACAUAACUCCGCUAAAUCUCGCUGGUGCAUGAAGAAAUGUUAAGUGUACUGUACAUUCAUUUAAUGUUUUUGACCUAAUAAUUAUGAUUUUUCCCCACAUUCUGUUUGUAGAAUGUGUGCAUCUAACCGAAUAAAAGAAUAUAAAGAAA